rnacentral:lncRNA from 1 species
ACCAGUGAGUCCCCAGGUGCUGGGAAUCCUCAGGGACUUCCGGGGCACCCUGUCCAUCAAGGACCUCAGGUGGGACCAGUAUAAACCAGUAUGGACCAGUACAAACCAGUAUGGACCCAAAAAUCCCCGUGAAAAUCCGUUAAAGUGCAUAGAAACCAGUAUAGACCAGUAUAGACCAGUAUGGGAUUAGGACUAGGAGUGACUGGGAGGGACUUGGAGCAGGCCAGGACCAGUAUGGACCAGUACAAACCAGUAUGGAUCCAAAAAUCCCCAUAGAAAUCCAUAGAAACCAGUAUGGACCAGUACAAACCAGUAUGGGGGCAAAAAUCCCCAUAGAAAUCCAUAAAAGUGCAUAGAAACCAGUAUAGACCAGUAUGGACUGGGACCAGUAUGGGGCUGGAAAUGCACCAGAACCAGUACAGACCAGUAUAAACCAGUAUAGACCAGUAUGGACCAGUACAAACCAGUAUGAACCCAAAAAUCCCCAUAGAAAUCCAUUAAAAUACAUAGAAACCAGUAUAGACCAGUAUAAACCAGUAUAGACCAGUACAGACCAGUAUAGACCAGUAUAAACCAGUAUGGACCCAAAAAUCCCCAUAGAAAUCCAUUAAAGUACAUAGAAACCAGCAUAGACCAGUAUAAACCAGUAUAAACCAGUAUAAACCAGUAUAAACCAGUAUAAACCAGUAUAAACCAGUAAGGGACCAUUAAACCGCCUUAAACCAGUGUCAGUGCAGAGCUGCAGUGGGCAGUGGUCACUCAAUGGUCACUCAGUGGUCACUCAGGGGUCACUGUGGUCACUCAGUGCUCACUCCCAUGGCGUCAAUGCUCACUCCCAUGGGUCAGUGGUCACUCAGUGGUCACUCAAUGGUCACUGUGGUCACUCAGGUCACUCAGUGGUCACUCCCGUGUCCAUCUGUCCAGCCAGAUGACCAGCAUCACACAGACCGACACCAUCAGCCCACUGACCAUUGCCAGGGGUCACUCCCAUGAGUUCAGUGCUCACUGUGGUCACUCAAUGGUCACUCCCAUGGGGUCAAUGGUCACUGUGGUCACUCAGUGGUCACUCAGCGGUCACUCUGCCCCCCAGCCAGAUGACCAGCAUCACGCAGACCGACAUCAUCAGCCCGCUGACCAUUGCCAGUGACCAUUGCCAUGCGUUCAAUGCUGGGUCGGUGGUUGUGACUAUGGGGUCAAUGGUCACUGUGGUCACUCAGUGGUCACUCCCAUGGGUCAGUGGUCACUCAGUGGUCACUCUGCCCCCCAGCCAGAUGACCAGCAUCACGCAGACCGACAUCAUCAGCACACUGACCAUUGCCAUCAGUUCCGUGCUCACUGCCAUGGGGUCAAUGGUCACUGUGGUCACUCAGUGCUCACUCCCAUGGGGUCAAUGGUCACUGUGGUCACUCAGUGGUCACUCAGUGGUCACUCAGUGGUCACUCCCUGUCCAGCCAGAUGACCAGCAUCACGCAGACCGACAUCAUCAGC